rnacentral:rRNA from 1 species
GACAGAGGUCCCGAGCGUUAGGCGGAAUCACUGGGCUUAAAGCGUGUGUAGGCGGAUCGUUAAGUGUCUUGUGAAAUCCCACGGCUCACCCGUGGAACUGCUGGGCAUACUGGCGAUCUUGGGCCAACUAGGGGCAACUGGAACAAGCGGUGGAGCGGUGAAAUGCGUAGAUAUCGCUUGGAACGCCGAAGGUGAAAACAGGUUGCUGGGGUUGUGCCGACGCUGAGACACGAAAGCCAGGGGAGCGAAACGGG